UUGAACAUUAGCAACUUUAUUGGCAGGAAAUUCAAACUCAUUCAAAGAAACCUUGGCAGUUUUCAAAUAACGAAGGAAACCGAGCUCAGAAGGAGCGAGGAACAUAAGGGAUUUACCAGUUCCCUUUGUUCCUCUAGCUGUACGACCUACACGAUGAAUAUAAUCUCGGGGGUCAUCAGGAGGAUCGUACUGCACGAUCCAGUCAACGGCUGGAAUAUCUAACCCGCGUGCAGCAACAUUGGUGCAAAG